rnacentral:lncRNA from 1 species
AACUCAAAUGCAUUUUAGUUUAAAUGUAUUCCAUGCAAUAUUGAGGACACAUUUGUACAAUGGAAGUGUUUGCUGUUUAUCUGAAAAGAUUUUAUUUGAAGAUCUGAAGCUGGGAAUGCCACCAGCAUGAUUUUACUGGAGUGAGUCCAGCUACAUACAUCAGUUAGAAGAUAUCAGGCACUCUGAGUCUCUGAGACAGGCUGGGACCUGGGAGCCUUUGCUACAGUGCUGCAGUGCUUAUGCGUGGACAAACCUCUCCUCCAGCAACAAAAUACAAAGAAACUAUAUGAGACUAAAAACAACUGCAGUUGGGACAAACUCUGGAGAAGCCAUUAGCCUAGACCUCUCUCAGGAUCGGCCACAAUUGCUAACUGUGGAUGGCCAAGCCAAAUGUCUAUGAGAAAGCCCCCUUCUUGGCAUUCCCCGGAGGCUGUGUGACAAAUCAAGGUUACCUUGAAAGGAAUACAGGCUGGAGGAGGGCUGGAUCUAUCCAUCUAUCAAGAUAUGCUUUUCCUGAUGCUCUAAACUCAGCUGGACUCCUGAACGGUGUUUGGAAGCCAGCCACGGAGGCCACCAUAACUGCCGAAGUCCUGCUUCUUGGCAUUAUCUGAGUUCUCCCUGUUCCUAGAGAAAGUUAGCCUCUGUCACUGCCCAGUGGGUCUUUACAGGACAUUUCUACGACUUUAAGGCCAGGUCUGUUGACAAAGGCCAUCAGGGCAGCUGGUGUGGCUGUAACAGCACAUAGCUGGGCCAGGAGAUGCAGCCUAGAGACCCAGUGCUUCUCUUGGCCUUAGUUUCUUCCUCUAAAAAUGGGAAUAAGAAAACCUGGCCAUAAUGGAUGGCAGAAAUCAACACACUAUUGUAAAGCAAUUAUCCUCUGCUUAUAAAUAAAUAAUAUAUCAUUAAAAAACACAAAAAACCCACCGUGUCUAUGGAGCUGCCUAUUGGCCACAUGAUAGAAGACUCUAGGAGGCAUGUGACUAUGGUGUCCAUGGAGGCUUUGGCUUUGGGCAGAGUGGUGAUCCCACCUACUUGCUUCAGAGUUGAUUUCAAGUUCCCAGGAGAGACACGGGGAGAAGGCAAUGGUGCCCCACUCUAGCACUCUUGCCUGGAAAAUCCCAUGGAUGGAGGAGCCUGGUGGGCUGCAGUCCAUGGGGUCGCUAAUAGUUGGAUACGACUGAGCGACUUCACUUUUACUUUUCACUUUAUGCAUUGGAGAAGGAAAUGGCAACCCACUCCAGUGUUCUUGCCUGGAGAAUCCCAGGGACGGGGAAGCCUGGUGGGCUGCCGUCUAUGGGGUCGCACAGAGUCAGGCACGACUGACGUGACUUAGCAGGAGAGAGCCUGCUGCUCCUUGUUCUUGUUGACUUUCCUAGAAUGAGCCCUCUGAGGUGUCUGGCUAGGAUAUAAUCCAUCACCUGCCUCUCAGAUGAAUCCCUUAUCUUGCCCCUCCUGCUCAAUCCUGCCUUCUUGAUACCUGUAGCUUCCAGGAGGAAAGGACAGAGAGAGAGGCCUCCAGCAUUGGUGGCUUUGCUAGGACUGAUCUGGGAAAAGCUCACUCAAUGGAAGGGCUUGAAGGAAGCAGCUAACUGAAUGCAAGACAAACUUCAUCUCAGGCUGGAUGAGAGCAAGCAGGACACAGGAAAAAUAUGCAUUGGGCCACCCAGUGGAUCCACCAAAGACUUACAACCUGACGUGACCAGAGUCUGAUGGUUAACUGAGGCCUGGGACUGCAGGAACAGAUGAAAUUCUUUUUCCAUAAGAAUUUCAUAGAAUCUUUUAAAUUAAAUAUUGCUUUGCUGUGUGCUGUUGUGUACACACUGUUGCCUAAGCUUUUCAGGCCAUGCCCCUCAUCACAGCAGUUAAUGACAUGAUGGCAAGUGCAAUGACUAUUUAGGUGGUGUGGCACACUUGCUAGGAGGAAAACCUCUGUACUCUAGGGCCUGAAUUUCAGUCCUGACUUCACUGCUUACUAGGCACAUGACCUUCUCUAUAUUAACUAGCAUUUUGAACCACAUUUUCUUCAUCUGUGAAAGUGAACAAAUCAUAGUACCUGUUCCACUAGGUUCCUAUGGGAAUUAAAUGAAAUAAUGCCUGCAAAGUAGUCAAAAGUCCCUAGAACAUCCUGGAAAAUCAAUGAAUAUUAGUUUUUAUUAAUUACAUAUUUGGAGUUUCAAGCACUCUAAAUAAUAAUUUGUUGUUGUUCAGUUGCUAAGUUGUGCCCGACUCUUUGUGACCCCAGGGACUGCGGCACACCAGGCUCCUCUGUCCUCCACUGUCUCCCGGGAUGUAUUCAAAUUCGUUUCCAUUGAGUCAUGGAUGCUAUCUAACCAUCUCAUCCUCUGCCACAUGCACCCUUCUUCUUUUGCCUUCAAUCUUUCCCAGCAUUGGGGUCUUUUUCAAUGAGUCGGCUCUUCGCAUCAGUUGGCCAAAGUAAUGGAGUUUCAGCUUCAACAUCAGUCCUUCCAAUGAAUAUUCAGCGAUGAUUUCCUUUAGGAUUGACUGGUUUGAUCUUGCUGUUCAAGGGACUCUGGAAGUCUUCUCUAUCACUACAAUCGAAAACAUCCAUUCUUUGGUGCUCAGCCUUCUUUAUGGUCUAAAUCUAAUAAUCUCUAAAAAGGUAGAUACUAAUUUAAACUUCACAAAUGCUAUCACAAGUAUUAUAUAAUUUUAUCCCGAACAAUAAUUUUGUAUGUAGGUCCCCAAAUCUCUAUUUUAAAAGGAGAGAGGGCAGGAGGGAAGGAAGGAAAAAAAAAAUAAGAAAGAAUUAAAUUACUGUUCUGUGCCAAGUAUUAGGCUAAGAUCUUUUCUAUAAGGCAAAUACUAUUAUUAAUGUGAUUUUACAUAUGAGAAAACUGUGGAUCAGAGGGAAUAAGAAAUUUGCUCAAAGACUUAAGAAAGGAUAAAGGAAAAGGGAUAAAGAAUUUACAGUUUGCAUUUUAACUAUUUCUUGUGAUAGGUUAUUUUAUAAUAUGUACAUUUUAUCAUCAAGAUUGUGUCUAUUAAUUCAUGCACUGGUUUAUAGAAAGAUCAAAAUAUAUAUCUUUGACAUUAAUGAAAGCACAAGCAAUGUAGUGCUUAAAGUGAAAAGUACAAUUUUUUUGUUAUGGUUUUAACAAUGUUAUAUGCAAUAAGUUUUCUGAUCAAACAGAAUUUCUGAAUUAUAAUGAAGUCUCAUGAAAAUAAUUUCAAAUAUAUUUUUCACUUUAGAAAUCAAUUUAGGCAUCAUGUAUUAGAGGAAGAGAUUCUGUUGUUAUGUCUGAUUUUUAAAAAUUUUAUAAAAAAGCAAAUCACUAACUUCUUGCCUCUUGCCUCUUCUCCUAAUGUAUAAUAAUAGAUUUAUAAUGGUAAUCAGCCUUGUUUCCUCUCUGGAUAAAGAAGCGGCCUAAUAAUAUGAGUAAUGGUAGGCUGCUGUGUAGCACAGGGGGCUCAGCUUGGUGCUCUGUGAUGACCUAGAGGAGUGGGAUGGGGGGAUGGAGGGUCAAGAGAGAGAGAUAUGUCUAUAUAUCGCUGAUCCAGUUUGUUGUACAGCAGAAACGAACCCAAUAUUGUAAAAUAAUUAUACUUCAAUAAUAAAAUAAAAAGGCAAUACAUAUGAGAAGAGUAAUAUUGCCACAAUCAUGUUUAGAAACUUGUUGAAGAUGAGGUAGCUGCGUGAUAAUGCUGUCACUUGGAUAGAUCAGUCUUUCUUUUGGUAAUUUCUGGGAUCUUCUCUAAAAAGAACCAGUAGUUGUUAAAGGAGAUUGGAUCCUAAGGGUUCUCACACAAGGAGAAUAUUUUUUCUUUUCUUUUUAUUGUAUCCAUGUGAGAUGAUGGGUGGGAACUAAAUCUACUGUGGUAGUAAUUUCUCAAUAUAUGUAAAUAAAACCAUUGUUCAGUACAUCUUCAACUUAUGCGGCUAUGUAUGUUAACUAUUUCUUGAUAAUACUGGAAGCAAAGGUAUAACCCUG